rnacentral:rRNA from 1 species
CUUGGUCAUUUAGAGGAAGUAAAAGUCGUAACAAGGUUUCCGUAGGUGAACCUGCGGAAGGAUCAUUACAGAGAAUGUGCCCUUCGGGGUGUAUCUCCCACCCUUUGUUUACAAUACCUUUGUUGCUUUGGCAGGCCUGUCUAAUGACUGCUGGCUUUUGCUGGUUAGUGCUUGCCAGAGGACCCCAACACUCAUAAUUUUGUUGUCUGAGUACUACAUAAUAGUUAAAACUUUCAACAACGGAUCUCUUGGUUCUGGCAUCGAUGAAGAACGCAGCGAAAUGCGAUAAGUAAUGUGAAUUGCAGAAUUCAGUGAAUCAUCGAAUCUUUGAACGCACAUUGCACCCUCUGGUAUUCCGGGGGGUAUGCCUGUUCGAGCGUCAUUACAACUGUCAAGCACAGCUUGGUAUUGGGUGUCACCUUUCUGGUGUGCCUCAAAAGAAGUGGCGGGACCAUGCGGCUUCGAGCACAGUAAUUUUCUUGCUCUUGGGGCCGCAUGGUGCUCACCAAAACUAUUCUCAAGGUUUGACCUCGGAUCAGGUAGGGAUACCCGCUGAACUUAAGCAUAUCAAUAAGCGGAGGA